UACGGAGGAUGCAAGCGUUAUCCGGAUUUAUUGGGUUUAAAGGGUGCGCAGGUUGUUUGAUAAGUCAGUGGUGAAAGUCUGUCGCUUAACGGUAGGAUUGCCAUUGAUACUGUUGGACUUGAAUAUGGAUGAGGUAGGCGGAAUGUGUAGUGUAGCGGUGAAAUGCAUAGAUAUUACACAGAACACCGAUUGCGAAGGCAGCUUACUAAACUGUAACUGACGCUGAGGCACGAAAUCGUGGGUAUCAAACAGGAUUA
rnacentral:rRNA from 1 species